UCGUGCCAACUGUCAAAAUGUUUUGAAAAACAAAAUGCUCUUAUUUCGAUGCAUUUCAAGAGUUUUGUUGUGAUAAAAACACUGGAAUAUAGACUGAAAUACUAUCCAACCAUUAGACUCAUGGUAUAUGAAUUUUACGGUGUUUUAAGUUAAACAAACAAGCUAAAAACAGACUGAUUUUACAGUUGUUUGGGGUAUUCCGGAUUUUGGUUAGUUCCGGAUCAAAGCAGGUGAAAACAAUCAAUUAUGAAAAUUGUAAUAAAAAUUGUCUUAAACAGUUAGUUGAUAUUGGAAGAGUUAACCUUUUUAAAGAAUUCAAACAAUUAUUUGUUUACAAAUUGCGACUUUCGUGACCUAUUUUUUUGUGUCAGACAAUCGGACAUGCGCACUCGCUCUUGAAAAGGUACGGGAAAAUUAUGGCGUUUCAAUGAAAACAUCGGAGUCUUACCAAAAUGGGAAAACCAAAACAUCAAAGCCCAGCUGUGAAGAAAGCUAAAUGUAUUAAAAAGAAAUACCAAAGUGGAUCCCCCAGGAAAGCCCUGAGAUGUAGGCGAGCCAUUAUCGCAAUCGAAAAGGGCAAAGUCUAUAAGAAAAUCUUCAGAACUUUAUGGUGUAUCCUAUGGUUAUUUCCACAGGCGGCUUUCUGGAGAAGUUGAUUUAGUUGAUGUUUCUAAUAAUUACCAGUACAUCUUGCACAUUAAUAUUUUGUUCAUCUGUAACUGCCUUGAAAUUGAUAUACAUGUACAUUUGUAAAAAACCAGUGAGCCAGUUCCUGGUCCUUCAGGCACAACUGAUGCUACUUUGUUGAAGACUAUUGUGUUGGAGAAAAGUGUUAAUAAGGGAUACCAUGUCUACAAGAUCAAGCCACCUAUUACGGAUCCGCCUACUAAACUUAGGGUGGACUGUGAAUACACUAACAUCGUAGACAAAGAGGCAUGUCUUUUGUGGCUGCCAGACCUUGAGACAUUUAAUGAACAUAUUCAUGACAUGGUUACAGACCAAAGUAGACAAUUGAAAUUAUCCGACAUUGCCGGCCUUCCCAUUGGUCAUGUACCAAGAACAUUAGCAGGGUUUUUCAGAAGAGUUCUUGACGAGGAGGGAAGUAUUUACGCCAUUACAACUGGUGGACCGUGUCCAAGCUUUCCUCCCUGGCCAGCACUUAACGAGAAAGGAGGGGGUGCUGUUAUCCCAUGCUCCUAUUUCAUCUCGUGUCCAUCAAGAACAUUUGAAAUGUCUGUCUCCCUGUUGCGCUCAGCAUUGGAAACAAUGCAAGAAGGUUCAGCUAUGAACGUGUCAUUUAUUAAGUGAAAAGAAUAGUUGUUUAAUUGAUGCUUAAUGAUACAGGUUAAAAUCUUCCAAGUGUGUAAUCAUGUUUUUUAAAUGUGAUUUUUUUAUAUAAGUCUAGUCAAACUUUGAUUCGUUUUGUAUACCUGGUAUGUGAUGUUAUAAGUGUGAGUAUUUGUUAAUUGAUGCUUGAUGAUACAGGGUAAAAUCUUCCAAGUGUUUUAAAAAUGUGAUUUUUUAAGUCUAGUCAAACUUUUAUUGUUGUGUAUACCUGGUUUGUGAUGUUAUGAGUGUGAGUAUUUGUUAAUUCCUGUCUUAUAACUGGAAUCUUAAUGAAUGCAUGUUCUAGUUGUGUUCAAGUUGUGUUAGUUUGUUUUUUAAUCCUAACAUGUAUGUUUAAAAUACAAUCUAGUUAAAUCAU